CCGGACGUGAGAUUGCUCCUCAUUGUAGAGGCGAAGAAGAAGGGGUACGUGCCACUGCGGGCUAGCUUCCUUGUUAACAUCUUGGACUUUGGCGGAAGCUUUUCCCAUGAUUUUUUGUUGGUUCUCGAAUUACUGGCGGGGAUAGAGCAUUCACCUGAAGUGGAAGGAACUCGAUAUUAGCUUUCUGUUUGCAUCUGCCGAUUCAAAGUGCUUGUUCUCACGCACGCAAUCUUCUCAUUUUUGAGCAUACUGUGACGCAUAUCGAAAUCUACGGUGGAAACGGAUUUAUUGCGCCUCAACCCUUCCGUUCCAGCAUUCUACUCACCAUCCAAGACUAAGGAAUGGUUUAGUCGGUUUGAGUACAGACACAAAUGAAGGCGUUUCACCGACUGGAUAGCACUCAAUGAAAUCUUUGCCCAAAGUUCGUUUCGCUAACUGUUCAUAUUCUGCUUUAUGGAAUCAAAGAGGUAUAGCUCUGGAUUCUAGAGUCGCUGGUUGGCAAAGUUUAAAGGGUGAGUAGAUUUGUUUCUGCUGCUACUUUUGACUAGUUGUUUAAGAGGCGGGUAAUGAUCAUGGGGGUGUAAUCAGAAUUUAGAAAGAAUCUCUUCUGAAGGAUUGGCAAAUUGUCCGCACUGCUUGUUCAUUUCUAGCAUUGUAUCAAAGCACAUAUCAAUGAUUUAAAAUUUCUCGUCUGUUA